GAUGAAGAACGCAGCGAAAUGCGAUAAGUAAUGUGAAUUGCAGAAUUCAGUGAAUCAUCGAAUCUUUGAACGCACAUUGCGCCCCCUGGUAUUCCGGGGGGCAUGCCUGUCCGAGCGUCAUUACAACCCUCAAGCUCAGCUUGGUAUUGGGCCCCGCCGACCCGGCGGGCCCUAAAGUCAGUGGCGGUGCCGUCCGGCUCCGAGCGUAGUAAUUCUUCUCGCUCUGGAGGUCCGGUCGUGUGCUCGCCAGCAACCCCCAAUUUUUUUCAGGUUGACCUCGGAUCAGGUAGGGAUACCCGCUGAACUUAAGCAUAUCAAUACGGAGGA
rnacentral:misc_RNA from 1 species